rnacentral:rRNA from 1 species
AUUGAACGCUGGCGGCAGGCUUUACACAUGCAAGUCGGACGAGUGGCGAACGGGUGAGUAAUGUAUGGGAAACUACCUAGUGAAGGGGGAUAACCACUGGAAAAGGUGGCUAAUACCGCAUACUAUCAGAGUGGCCCAUAGGUGUGUAGCUGGUUGGUGGGGUAACGGCCUACCAAGGCGACGAUCCCUAGCUGGUCUGAGAGGAUGACCAGCCACACUGGAACAGAGACACGGUCCAGACUCCGACGGUAGGCAGCAGUGGGGAAUAUUGGACAAUGGGCGCAAGCCUGAUGCAGCCAUGCCGCGUGUCUGAAGAAGGCCGUCGGGUUGUAAAGGACUUUGAGUAGGGAGUCGUUACCUGCAGAAGAAGCACCGGCUAACUACGUGCCAGCAGCCGCGGUAAUAC